rnacentral:rRNA from 1 species
UACGAAGGGGGCUAGCGUUGUUCGGAUUUACUGGGCGUAAAGGGCGCGUAGGCGGCCAGCACAAGUCAGUUGUGAAAUCUCCGAGCUUAACUCGGAAAGGUCAACUGAUACUGUGCGGCUAGAGUGCGGAAGGGGCAACUGGAAUUCCUGGUGUAGCGGUGAAAUGCGCAGAUAUCAGGAGGAACACCGAUGGCGAAGGCGGGUCUCUGGGCCGGAACUGACGCUGAGGAGCGAAAGCGUGGGGAGCGAACAGG